rnacentral:piRNA from 1 species
UCUUGGUCCAUGAAUAUGAGUAGAAGUGA